UACAGGGGGUGCAAACGUUGCUCGGAAUUACUGGGCGUAAAGCGUGCGUAGACGGUAGCGUAAGUCAGAUGUGAAAGCCCCGGGCUCAACCUGGGAACUGCAUUUGAGACUGCUCUGCUCGGGUGCGGAAGAGGGAAGCGGAAUUUCCGGUGUAGCGGUGAAAUGCGUAGAUAUCGGAAGGAACACCAGUGGCGAAAGCGGCUUCCUGGUCCGACACCGACGUUCAGGCACGAAAGCGUGGGGAGCAAACAGG
rnacentral:rRNA from 1 species